CAAGAUAAAAGAAGUACAGUUUGGGAUUCUAUACAUUAAAAUGUUUGUUUUGGCUUCCAGAAAGAGAAAUCUCAAGUAAAUAUUGCUGAAAAACCAAGGCUAUUCAUGGGCUAACAGACUGAUAAGGUCUAGGGAGGGCAUAGGUGGGGCGUGCUUCAGUCAGGGCUCCAGCUCUGUCCUAUGCAGUGUUCUUUGACCUGAUCUCUUUUCAAGCUUCAUCCUCAGGCUUCCAGGAAACUGGCUGCCCCAACUCCAGGCCUCGUAUACACGGACAACAAUGCCAAGAAGAAGAGGCCCAGGACUUCUGGAGAUUACAAUGGUACCAAUACAGCAUUUGACAAAGGAAUGACUUGUGGAUGCAUAAUGCAAUUGGAAGUCUAACUGCAAAGCUCUUAGAAGGAUCUUGAUCAGAAGUUCUCCAGUGGCCAAAGGAAUAUAAGCUGAAUUGUUGUACACGACUUCCAGGAAGUGGCCCUUAAAGAAAGAGGCAGGAUCUUCCCUUCUUUCUGAUGGCUAGAGGGCAGACAUGAUGGCUGGAGCUGCAGCAACUAUCUUGGGCUACAAAAUAGACUUUACAUGAUACAGGUACCAGAGCAACAGAGUAGGAGUCUG
rnacentral:lncRNA from 1 species